GAUGAACGCUGGCGGCGUGCCUAAUACAUGCAAGUCGAGCGAACGGACGAGAAGCUUGCUUCUCUGAUGUUAGCGGCGGACGGGUGAGUAACACGUGGAUAACCUACCUCUAAGACUGGGAUAACUUCGGGAAACCGGAGCUAAUACCGGAUGAUAUUUUGAACCGCAUGGUUCAAACGUGAAAGACGGUCUUGCUGUCACUUAUAGAUGGAUCCGCGCUUCAUUAGCUAGUUGGUAAGGGAACGGCUUACCAAGGAAACGAUGCAUAGCCGACCUGAGAGGGUGAUCGGCCACACUGGAACUGAGACACGGUCCAGACUCCGACGGGGGGAAGCAGUAGGGAAUCUUCCGCAAUGGGCGAAAGCCUGACGGAGCAACACCGCGUGAGUGAUGAAGGUCUUCGGAUCGUAAAACUCUGUUAUUAGGAAAGAACAUAUGUGUAAGUAACUGUGCACAUCUUGACGGUACCUAAUCAGAAAGCCACGGCUAACUACGUG
rnacentral:rRNA from 1 species